GACAGAGGGUGCAAACGUUGCUCGGAAUCACUGGGCGUAAAGGGCGUGUAGGCGGGAAGGUAAAGUCAGAUGUGAAAUCCCUGGGACUCCGAACCCAGGAACUGCAUUUGAAACUCCCUUUCUUGAGUGUCGGAGAGGAAAGCGGGAAUUCCUGGUGUAGGAGGUGAAAUUCGUAGAUAUCAGGAGGAACACCGGUGGCGAAGGCGGCGUUUCUGGACGACAACUGACGCUGAGACGACGAAAGCGUGGGGAGCAAACAGG
rnacentral:rRNA from 1 species